UUCAUACAACAAUUCAACUUCACUACUUCACAAACACAAAAUCCUACAGUUUUCUCUUCUUUCAAAGAUAUGGCAGAAAUAAUCGUCUCUGUUAUUGCUGAGAAACUCUUGGAUAAGCUAUCAUCCCUUGCUUCCAAUGAAAUGGGUUUGGCAUGGGGUGUCCAAAAAGAUGCACAAGAGCUUGUUGACACCUUAACCACUAUCAAAGCUGUUCUCUUAGAUGCUGAGGACAAGCAGACCCAUAAUGAGAAGCUCAAAGUUUGGCUGGGAAAGCUUAAGGGGAUCUGCUAUGAUGCUUAAGAUUUUUUAGACGUGAUUUAGGUGGAAGGUUUGCGUAAACAAGUGGUAAAUAGUCAAAGCUGUACAAGAAAGGUACGCCACUUUUUUUCAUCCUCAAAUCCAAUUGCUUUCCGUUUUACGUUGGGGCAUAAAAUUAAGGAGAUUAAAAAGAGGUUAGCAAAAAUAGCAGUUAUUAAAAAUAGUUUUAAUCUCACUGAGAAAGUUGAUAGCAAUCAAGUUAUAGGUUGGGAGAGGGAGAGGGAGAGGGAAACUCACUCAUUUGUGCGUGCUUCAGAUGUUAUUGGUAGGGAUAAAGAUAAAGAGAAGAUUAUGAAAUUACUGUUACGUCCAAGUCAUGGCCAUGAAAAUGUUUCUGUCAUUCCUAUUGUUGGAAUAGGAGGCCUAGGAAAAACCGCACUUGGCAAAUUGGUGUACAAUGAUAAAAUAGUGGGUGAAUAUUUUAAGUUGAAAAUAUGGGUAUGUGUGUCAGAUGAGUUUGUUUUGAAAAAACUAUUAAUUGACAUCAUCGAAUCUGUAACUCAGAAAAAAUAUGUUGACAAGAGUAUUGACCAAUUGCAAAAUAUCCUACGUGAUAUCUUAAGCCAUGAAAAAUAUUUGUUAGUUUUGGAUGAUGUUUGGAAUGAAGAUUAUGGGUUGUGGUUUGAAUUAAAAAAUUUAUUGAGGGAAUGUGUUAGUGGAAGUAAAAUUAUCGUAACUACACGCAGUGAUCGUGUUGCCUCAAUUAUGGGCACUGUACCUACAUACAGGUUAGAAGGUCUUUCUCUUGAUGAUUGUUUGUCAGUGUUUGUUAAAUGUGCUUUUAAAGAAGGGAGAGAAAAGCAACAUCCCAACCUUGUGGAAAUUGGAAUAGAAAUUGUAAAAAAAUGUAGAGGUGUUCCAUUGGCAGUAAGAGCGUUAGGAAGUCUACUUUAUUCCUCAACUUCUGAACAAGAUUGGAAAAAUUUGAGGGAUAAUGAGAUUUGGAAGUUGGAUCAAAAAGAAAAUAACAUUUUAAAUGCGCUAAGAAUAAGUUAUAAUCAUCUGCCAUCUUACUUAAAGCAAUGUUUUGUUUAUUGUUCUAUUUUUCCAAAAGACAUUGAAUUUACUAGUCUUCAUUUGGUUCAAUUUUGGAUGGACCAUGGGCUUCUUCAAUCGCACAAUGAAAAUGAAGAUUUGGAAAAUAUUGGUAAACAAUACGUAAAAGAAUUGAUUUCGAGAUCUUUUUUCCAAGAUAUUGUACAACUGCAUGAGAGUUUGUACACGUUUAAAAUUCAUGAUCUCAUGCACGAUCUUGCCACAUCAUUGAUGAGAAAUGAGUGCUUAAUAGUGAAAUCUGCUAACCAAAUUUGUACCAAAAGUCAUCGACACGUAUCAUUUUAUUUUGUUGAUGCACCUAUAAUAGAUGUUCCAAACAUUUUCCCUAACUUGGGUCAUCUGAGAAGCAUUACUUUUUAUCCGAUUUCUGGUGAAAGUACUGGUAUUAGCCAAUCAUUUUUGGAAUUAAUCGUCUCAAGGUGUAAAUUCUUGCGGAUGUUAAAUUUAUUUUCUUCAAAUAUUGACCUAGUGCCUAAAAAAAUUGGUAAUUUGAAGCAUCUAAGAUUUCUUGAUCUAGGGAGCAACCCUAAAAUAAAAGAACUCCCAAGUUCCAUUUACAAGCUACAAAAUUUGCAAUUUCUAUCACUAUUGGGUUGUGAGGAAUUAAAAGCGUUAACAAGAGAUGUAAAGUACUUAAUUAGUCUUAGACAUCUCGCAUUAACUACGAUACAAACGCAUCUACCAACCAAUGGUAUUGGUUGCUUGAAUUCUCUUCGACGUUUGUGGAUUUGCAAUUGCAAUAAUUUAGAAUAUUUGUUUGAAGAUAUUGGUCACCUAAGAGUUCUUCGAACUCUAAGCGUUUCUGAAUGUCCAAGACUUAUCUCAUUACCACGUGGUGUGAGAAGCCUAAGCUCAUUAGAAAAUCUUCUUUUGAUAAGUUGUGAAAGGCUUAAUCUUGAUUUGAGCAUAGGAUCGGAUAAGCAAGACAAUCAUGAUGAACUCAGUAGCACAUGGCCUCACCUUCGAUUUCUUUGUAUAAGAGAAUUACCACAAUUGGUGGAAUUUCCGCAAUGGCUUAUUCAGUGUUCCAUUAGCAGUUUGGAAAGGUUGCAAAUUGUAAAUUGUUCCAACUUGAAGGCACUACCAGAGUCGAUGUAAAAACUUCAAGUUCUUGUUAUUGAGAAGUGUCCAGAAUUGUCAUCUUUACCCAAGGAUAUGGAUCGUCUCAUCUCUUUGAGAGAACUAGCAAUUGAAGACAGUCCUAAGCUGAGCGAAAGAUAUGAACCAGAAACAGGUGAAGAUUGGUCCAAGAUUUCUCAUAUCCCCUACAUUCAACUCGAUGGCAAGGUCAUCAAAUCGACAGAAAUUUAGAUUCAAGGUUAGCAAUCAAGUGUGGUGGUGUGGUAAACAGUUGAGAGUUGGCAAUAUAGUGUAUGAAGCGGACGAUGGUGGAGCUUCUUUUAAUGUGUUAAAUCCUGAAGAGCAACUACAGAGAAAUUUAAUGCUAUGGUAACUGAGAACUAUCUUGAAAUUCACCUAUUUUGGGCUGGUAAAGGGACCUGCUGCAUCCCUACUGGAGGUAGCUUGGGCCAUUAAUUUCAGCUCUUAGUGUCAUUCCAGGUGAAGUAUGUGAUUACUUUGACUCUUCAUUUAAGAUGAGUUACAAUAUAUGUGCUUCUAUACUUCAUUCUGAUAUACAAUAACUGAAUUUUCCUACUUAGAUUUCAUACCAACUGUUGGUAUUGCACGAAAGAAAAACCAGGCUUGGCUGAUUGUUGGUAUUGCCAUGGCUCUCGGAAGUUUGGGCUUGAUACUGAUAUUUUUAAUUUUUUACAUGAACAUAAAAAGAGGCAAUGAUGAUGCAGAAGGUAAAAUCUGUGAAACCAAUUUUUUUUGGAAAACAAUGAAUUUAGUUUUACUUUAGCAUCCCACAAUAUAGGUGAAGCGUGAACUUUUUUCUAGUUCACUUAAGAACAUAGAUACUAGAUUUAAAAUAACUAUUUGUUAUAAAGGUCAUGAUAUUUGAGCUCUUGCUUCCAAAAUUUGGAAUAGGAUAUUCCGAGAAACAGGCAAAGCUGCUGGUGUAAUUCAUCUCUUAUCAUGCAAAGCCAUCCAUGUUAUGUAAUCUUUUAUCUUGCUUCAAUAUGCAGUGUUACUUGGAAUAGGUCCUAAACCAAAAAUUUUCGGUUAUGCUGAGUUGAAAUCUGCAACAAAAGACUUCAACCCUCCAAAUAAGCUAGGCGAGGGAGGAUUUGGACCUGUGUACAAGGAAAAAGGGAUUUGCAUCUUGAUUGGCCUACCCGGUUCAAUAUAUGCCUGGGAAUUGCGAGAGGUCUAGCAUAUCUUCACGAGGAUUCAAGGCCAAAGAUUGUACAUCGAGAUGUCAAAGCAAGUAAUAUUU